rnacentral:rRNA from 1 species
UACAGAGGCCACAAGCGUUAGGCGGAAUCACUGGGCUUAAAGCGUGUGUAGGCGGAGGCGUAAGUGUCUUGUGAAAUCCCCCGGCUCAACCUGGGAACCGCUGGGCAUACUGCGUCUCUUGGGCCAAUCAGGGGCAGCUGGAACAAACGGUGGAGCGGUGAAAUGCGUUGAUAUCGAUAGGAACUCCGGUGGCGAAGGCGGCAUACUGGUCCACUUCUGACGCUGAGGCGCGAAAGCCAGGGGAGCAAACGGG